CNNUAAACAUUCCGCCUGGGGACUACGGUCGCAAGAUUAAAACUCAAAGGAAUUGACGGGGACCCGCACAAGCGGUGGAGCAUGUGGUUUAAUUCGAUGCAACGCGAAAAACCUUACCACUCCUUGACAUGGAAAUUAUACCUAUUCGAAGGGAUAGGGUCGGUUCGGCCGGGUUUCACACAGGUGUUGCAUGGCUGUCGUCAGCUCGUGUCGUGAGAUGUUGGGUUAAGUCCCGCAACGAGCGCAACCCUCAUCCUUAGUUACCAUCAGGUAAUGCUGGGGACUUUAAGGAGACUGCCAGUGAUAAACUGGAGGAAGGUGGGGAUGAUGUCAAGUCAUCAUGGCCCUUAUGGAGUGGGCUACACACGUGCUACAAUGGUGGCUACAAUGGGCUGCAAAGUCGCGAGGCUAAGCCAAUCCCUUAAAAGCCAUCUCAGUUCGGAUUGUACUCUGCAACUCGAGUGCAUGAAGUUGGAAUCGCUAGUAAUCGUGGAUCAGCACGCCACGGUGAAUACGUUCUCGGGUCUUGUACACACUGCCCGUCACGCCAUGGGAAUUGGUUUCACUCGAAGCUAACGACCUAACCGCAAGGAGGGAGUUAUUUAAAGUGGGAUCGGUGACUGGGGUG
rnacentral:rRNA from 1 species